AAUCGAACUGACCUUCUUGUCCGGCCAUAGCAGGCUACCCAUUUCCAAAGUGUAACAGGCAUUGGAAAGUUCUGGAAUCCCAUUUACGAAGCAGGAAACAACUGCCACAGUGUGUGAGAGGUUUGUGCUGUGUCGUUCUUUAUUUUGGUGAGACUGGGCCACCGCGGAUCUGUAAGUGACAUUUAUAAGUUCCGCCUUCUAUGUCCUUUCUUUUUCCUUUCCUCCUCCCUCUCUGUCCCUCCUUUACCCCAUUAAUCCUGAGAUUCUCCAGAGAAAUGCCAAUUCCACCAUCUUGGGCCAAAUGUGAAACAAGCUUUAUUAAAUGUUAGAUUCUGACCAAGAGAUGGACUUUGGUCAGGAUCAUUCCCUGGAAUUUCCCAGCUGUGAUGGCCUCAAGCCAUGUGUUGAAGGGAUUUUUAUUUUCCAAGAACUACAAUUCCCAGCAUUCCAAUUCCUAGGCAGGUGAGGCUUACAGGUUAAUUGGGGGCUGCUCUACCACUGAGCAGCGCUACCAACUUUUAUACCCUUUCAGUUCACAAAGUCACUCGAGAACACAGGAAGUGGGUUAGCACCCACACCCAAAGGGUCCGCCCUUUGGGUAAAUAAGUUUCCUCUGGGGACAGUUCCUUUUUCUUCUCUUAUGUAUCCUAUCAUAGACUGGCUCAAACUUUCCAUGUAGCUAGCGAAGACUAACUUUGAACUUCUGACUUUCCUGCCUCUCCCUCCCCAGUACCAGAAUGAAAGGUGUGCGCCACCAUGCUGGGUUUUAUGCUGCACUGGGACUCUAACCUAAUCUAACCCUACCCACAGCUGCAGUCUAGGCCUAGGAGUCUUAGCACGUCACACUUCCACAGUGAGAACCAACUGAGAGAGAAGCAGUUGUUCCCAGCUCCGGGAGGUGGGUCUGGAUACACAAGAGAGGCAGCUUUCAAGGACACAGGCACUUUAAAGAGCCAUAGUUCGGGUCUUCAUGCAGCACAUGAGGAUAAAAAACGGAUAAAGCCUCUGAGGUGUUCCUUCCUGACACAGAUCUCAGUAAACAUCCAGCCUUUAAUUCCACCCUGAAGCACCCACUUUUUGUCCUUGAAACAUAAAAUUCCCAAAUCUUUUUUCUUCUCACAGGCAAGCACCUGGGCUUUUCUUUCAGCUACGCUUCCGGGGCCAGACUCUCCGUACGUGGCAUCUUCACUGUCCACUCCACUUGACAAUAUCAACUUCAUUUCAAUCACUCUUCGAGCUGACCUCGAUUCUCCUGGGAGACCUGCUGAGGUGGCCUUUGAGCCUUCUCUGAGCAUGACUUCUCACACACAGACCUGAGUCACCUUCAUGGUGUACUCGCUGUGCUUCAGAUCUACACUGAGGCAAAGUCGCCUCCCUGUUUCACAACGCAUGAGCCAAGGGUGUGUUAUUUGCCAGAACAAGAUGUACAACUUUCAGCUCCUCCUGCACCAUGCCUGUCUGGAUGCUGCCAUGUUCCUGGCUUGAUGAUAAUGGACUGAACCUCUGAACCUGUCCUGGGGACUUGAGUAAAUCUAUCACUGGAUGGUUGUGUCUUCCGGCUGCCGUCUUCCCAGGAGUUCCGUGAGCUGCCCAGACUCUUUGGGGAAUCUGGAAGACUCUGGAAGAAUUUACGCCCUGGUUGAAUUUGCUGAUCUGAAUGGCAACUCUUGUGCCAAAGGAAACCGAGGCUUCAGAAUACGUCGUCAUGCGCUCGGCUCAUCCACUGGAAAGUGCAGAGGCAGUAUUCGGACUGAAGUCUGCUAAUCCAAAGUUUAUACUUUCCUCCUACAGGAGCCUAGCACAGCUGUCCUCCGAGAGACCAACAAGCAGCUGACUGAGACAGAUAAGGAUAUUUACACCCAAGCAUUGGACUGAUGUCGGGGAUCCUGUGGUUGAAUUAGGGAAAAGCUGGAAGAAGCUGAGGAGGGAGACCCUAUAGGAAGACCAGCAGCCUCAACUAACCUGGAUCCCUGAGAUCUCUCAGAUACUGAGCCACCAACCAGGCAGCAUACACCAGCUGGUCCAAGGCCCCCAACAUAUGCAGAAGACUGCCUGGUCUGGCCUCAAUGGGAGAAGAUGCACCUAACCCUCAGGAGAUGUGAGGCCCAAGGAAGUGGGGAGGCCUGGUGGUGGUGGUGGUGGGGACAUCUUCUUGGAGACAGGGGAAGAAUGGGGUGAGGAACUGUGGGAGGGCAGACUGGAAGAGGGGGGUGGGCAAUGACUAGAUUGUAAAAAAAUAAAAGUAAUAAAAUAUACAGAUGAAAAUAAAUAAAAAAUAAA